ACCAAAAGUUUGUUCCUUCAGCCAGGCGCCGUGGUUGGCAGGCUCGGAGGAGAAGACCUCGGGCAUAGAUAACGGUGCCAGGCGGCAAUGGCAGUCUUUCCGCAGCAACAGUGCGUACUGCUGAGCAUAUUGUGUAUGUGCUUCCGGAAAACCGUUUUCUUGUAGACAUGGUGUCGAUCGCAAAAGCGCCUCUGGCUUGAGCUUUUUGGCGUUUCUCAGCCCCGUUUGUUUACUUACUUCAUGCCAUUGUUUUGAGUUGUCGUCUCACUGCGCCUGGCCUGGAACUCACUUACGUAGACCAGCCAGGCUGGCCUCAGAGCUUGCAGUGAUUUCUCUGCCUCUGCAGGUUUGUGCCCACAGCACUUGCGGUUGCCUUUUUGUAAAUAAAUGUGUGUGGGUGUUUUGGAUGUUUGUAUAGGUGUGCGCCACGUGUGCUUUUUGGAGUCCAUGGAGGCCAAAAGAAGGCUAUGGAUUCCUCUGGGACCGACGGUUAUGAUUUGCUUUGUGGAGCUGGGAAUUGAGCCCAGGUCCUUUGGCAGAGCAGUUAGAGUGCUUAAGCACUCACUGAGGCAUCUCUCCAGCCCCGCAGUUACAUUUGACCUUGCACUCCACAUUUCCCCUGCUUCAGUCUCCUUAGUGCUACUUCACCUAGCCUAAUCAUUUCCAUUUUAGACUAGGGAUUUUACAUCCCAAACCAUGGAAGCUAUAUCUACCUCUGUAUCUAAUCUAUAUCUAUACUCUAUGGUAUAUAUCUAUAUAUAUUCGCUGCUAUAUAAAUAAAAGCUGAAGAAUUGCUGCCUAACGACAUUCUAAUAUAGUAAGUGCACCAUGCUUUUAUGGAUAUUUUUGUGGUGAUUUGAACAAACAGUACUUCCAGUCAAAGUACAAUGCACACAGAUAUGCUCAGCACACAGCAUUUAAACUCUCAUGGAGGAGAGCAUGGCAGCAGGCAGGCAUGAGUGGCCUUGAAGCAGCAGCUGAGGUCUUACAAUAGAGAAAGACUGGGCCGGCCUCUAGUCACUUCUAGUGACACAUCUUCAACAAGGGCCACAUACUCCAACAAGGCCACACCUCCUAGUCCUUCCCAAAACAGUUCCACUAACUAGGGACCUAGCAUUCAAACACAUGAACUUAUGGGGCCCAAACCACCACAUUAUUGAUUUUUGUUUUUUUCUUUUAUUCUCUCCCCUCCUUUUUGAAACCUGGCUAACCUGGGACUUUCUUUAUAGACCCAUGUUGGAUGAUUCACAACUACCAUAACUAGCUCUAAGGGGCCCAGUAACCUUUUUUCUAGCCUCUAUUAAGCACCUGCAUAAUGUGGUCCCUAUACACAUACACACAUGAACACACACACACACACACACACACACACACGCACAUACAGAUAAAUUAUUUAAAAAAUUUAGUUUUUCAGACUUGUUUUAAGGUCUAAAAUGUAGUCUUUUCUGUCGUGACUAGUAUUUCAUGUGCAUAUAAACCAAGACAUUCUCUAGUUUUGGCCAUCUACAGGUACAUAGUCGUGAUUCAGCGACCUUUAUGAGGUUUGGAGGAGGUAGGAAUUGCUGUCAUGCGCUAUGCCCACUCACUUGAUAUCACUGAGUACCCUCAGAGGCAGGCUCUGUGUCCUUUCUGUGUCCCAGCAUGCUGCUGUACCCCACAUGGAAGCUCAACAAACACUGGCUGGGUGAGUGGAUGGCACUUGGACGCUGCUAGGCUCCCUUCUUACUUAUGAUUCAGAGGAUAGGCUGCUCGGUGUUAAGCCCUCCCAUGUCACUGUGACUUCCAUGUCUUCAGGACUUCACAUGGCGCUCCCUCAUCACCUCGUUACUGCCCCCUUAUCCUUGAAUGGCGUUGAACUGAACCAAAGGAGUACCAGUGAGGGUGUUACCCCUCGCCGGGCACACUUAGAACCACCUUGAGGCAAUUGGCAUGACACCCUUCUCAGAUAUGGAGGGGUUGUCUAUCUGAAAGCUCUCUACAUCACGAUGCCACACCCUCCCUGCAAAAGGAGGGCCUGCGCACCCAACUCCCAGGCAAGGCUGGUAUUGACACUCUUCCCAGGCUGUCUGUAGGCUACGUGGACACUGACACAAAGAAGUCUCUGGAUCCCUGACUGUCAUCCAGAUGGGCGUGCUUGGUAAGUAGGUUUAGAGGUGUUCUUGUUAACCCAUACCCAACCCAGUGAGAAGGAUCCUUAAGGCCCAGUCCUGCCCUCUGUGUAUCCCUUCCUUCUUGGCUCUCCCCUUCUGUGUAUCCUUCUUGGUUAUCCCCUUCCUCCUCUCCAGAACUGAUCUUACUUCCUUUCCCCUCUCCUAGCUUCCUUGCAGGAUGAGCUUGAUACCGUACUCAUUGACACGGAGUCCUGAGUGACUCACAGAACUUAGAGUUGAAUACACUGCUAGCAGCACUCUCAGUAAGAUGUGGUGGCUCUGCUUUAAAAUGCUCACCAGGACUUGAAGCAGCAGAUAGGAACAGCAGAAUCAUGCAAUCAGUCAUGUUGUUAUUGAUCUGUCUCAGCCAUAAGACCAAUUUUCUAGACACUGUUAAUGGCUUCUCUAAUAGGAGAAGCCCUCAUUGGGAAACCAAGGGAGGUGUGCUGCCCCACCUCAGUCAGAGAAGGAAGCAUUUCACAACCACUAUGUCACUAUGAAUGUGAAUUUUAGGCGGGUAAGGGAACAGAGAAGGACCUAGAGUUUGGGAGUUUGUAUAUAUAUUGAGUUUAGGCUAGCCUAGGCUACAUAUUGAGAGUCUCUCUCUCUCUGUCUGUCUCUGUCUAUGUCUCUGUCUCUGUCUCUCUCUCUGUAUAUAUGUCAAUCAGACAGACAGACAGAUCGUAAGAUAGAUGACAGGAGGGGCCAGAAUGACCUCAUACAACACUCACUUUUAGGCCAAUCAGGGAAGAAGAACAUGAGGGGUGGGAAGAAACCCAGAAGAUGAGACAUCUACAGCCAGAAGAGGUGAUUCUAGGAAGAGGGUGACACCAGAGUGCAUAGCAUGGACAAGGGAGGCCACUGGGGUGGUGGCCAGAGUGUAUCGGGGAUGGGGCUAAGGCUGGCAACUUCAGGUUUCAGUCAACUUCAAGUGCUUCAUGGAUUCAAAGCACACUGAAGUGGGUUGUUGUAUUGAGGGGAAGAGGGAGCAGUGCCGACAUCCACUGUAGACCAUUCCUGGAGGAGACUGCGCUGUGGGACAGUAAGGGCAGGAACUGGAAAGGAUCUCAGGUUCCAGAGAAGUCUGGCUUUUCAUGGGAGGGAUGUGUGGUGUGUUUCAGCGGUGAUGGAAGUGAGGCGGAAGAGGGAGAAGCAGAAUGUGCAGGUGAGGAGGGCUCACCGGAUGCUCAGCUGGUGAGAAGGCCAGGGAGAAUGGGGUACCGGAGCCUUGGAGAAGACUAGGUCACUUCUGCCACCAGAAGAGAGGGCCCGUGGGAAAGUCAAGGAAGAUCCUUCCCGAUGGCACGCCUGUUCUUGGUGACACAGAAAACCUGGAACAGAGUUGGGGUGGAAGGUUUACAGAGGGAAUCUGAAAUCAUCUCUUCAGUGUGGGCAGCUGAUGAGGAAGUGGAAGGGUCUCACUAUGCAGCCUUAUAGCUUUGGCUGGCCUGGAACUCUUGAUGUAGACCAGGCUGAUAAAGACAUGUCUGCCUCCGUGUCCUGAGUGCUGAGAUUAAAGGUGUGUGCUACCAUACCCCCAAAUUAUUUUUAAAGGGUACAUAAAACUGAAAACACCUUAAAGUUGGUUGGUAGUUCUUAACCAUUUUAUUUCUGUUAUACCCAAGGGCAUUUUUUUUUCUUUUUUUUUUUUUUUACCAUAUGUUAGAUCGAUGCUUUCUUAAAAUUCUACUACUGAGGG
rnacentral:lncRNA from 1 species